CCUUGGGAGACGGUGGGCUUUCCCCGGUUGUCAAAUCACGCCUGCCAAUCAAAUUGAAUUGUCUGCGCCCGAGGCCCAGCCCUAUUCCGGAAGCGGUUACCCCAGGUCUGCAGAGAAAAUUUGAAGCUCAUUGGUGGAAGUGGAUGCCCCUCAAAGCUCUGAGAUAAUUUCUUCCUGAUUGGUUGGAAAUGGCACCUAAUACGUGGCAAAUUCUGAGUGUGAAGAGUACUGUACCUAGGGAAAGGAAGAGCUGGAGAGCUUUAGAGAAGAAAGAGCUAAAACUGCAAAAGGCGAAACUGGGAGAAGAUCUGAAUGUUCAUCUAAGGAAUUGAAACUUCAUUCAGUAGUUAACGGAUACCCUGAGAUUUUUGAGCAAAGGAUGAAAAUUGUGGUUUGUGAAGAUGCAUCGUCAGCUUUGUAUUCAAAAGAAUAGCAUCAAAGAUGAGGAGAGUGAUUGGGAGGCUAUUGCCCAUCAAAUUUCUGUAGAGAUUUUUUAAAAAAGGGAGUAUCACAUGGCCACCUGCAUGUAAUGGGAAUAAAGAUGUGAACAAAAGACCUGGCUGGUGUAGCUCAGUGGAUUGAGUGCGGGCCUGCAAACCAAAGGACGGCAGUUUGAUUCCCAGUUAGGACACAUGCCUGGGUUGUAGGCCAGUUGUCAGCAGGGGACCUACAAGAGGCAACCAUACAUUGAUGUUUCUCCCCCUCUCUCCUUCCCUUCCCUUCUAAAGAUAAAUAAAUAAAAUCUUUUAAAAAACCAAGAAUUAAAAAAAAAGAUGUGAACAAAAGAGGCAUGGUUCCUAUUCUUCUGAAGCUUAACAUCUAUCUAGUUAGGGAGACAGACACUACUUAAAUACUGACAUACAUAUUUAUAUUAUGUACACAAUGUGCUAUGAUGAAAAAAGGCAUAGGCAUGAGAGCACAGUGGUACAAAAUCCCAGUAAGAAGUCAAGCUUUACUGGUACUCAGGGGAAAAAUGCAAAUAUUUCCAUUUUGGAAAAAGAAAAAGUCCUAAGUAGUAGUUAGCUGAGUAAAAAAAUAACUUGAAGGAAGGAAAAGAGGGUCUGAGAGUUUUAGCAUAACAUAUAGAAUCAAUGGUGACUGCAUAGUAACUCUGGAAUCAGUCUGAGUACUUCAGAGAAGUGUAA